AGAGUUUGAUCCUGGCUCAGGACGAACGCUGGCGGCGUGCCUAACACAUGCAAGUCGAGCGGAGACAGUAAGUAGCUUGCUACGAGCUGUUUUAGCGGCGGACGGGUGAGUAACGCGUGAGCAACCUUUCCCAGACAGGGGAAUAACACACCGAAAGGUGUACUAAUACCGCAUAAGACCACGGAAUCACAUGGUUCUGAGGUAAAAGAUUUAUCGGUUUGGGGUGGGCUCGCGUCCGAUUAGGUAGUUGGUGAGGUAAUGGCCCACCAAGCCGACGAUCGGUAGCCGACCUGAGAGGGUGAUCGGCCACAUUGGGACUGAGACACGGCCCAAACUCCUACGGGAGGCAGCAGUGGGGAAUAUUGGGCAAUGGGGGAAACCCUGACCCAGCAACGCCGCGUGGAGGAAGAAGGUUUUCGGAUCGUAAACUCCUGUCCUUGGAGACGAGUAGAAGACGGUAUCCAAGGAGGAAGCCCCGGCUAACUACGUGCCAGCAGCCGCGGUAAUACGUAGGGGGCAAGCGUUGUCCGGAAUAAUUGGGCGUAAAGGGCGCGUAGGCGGCUCGGUAAGUCUGGAGUGAAAGUCCUGCUUUUAAGGUGGGAAUUGCUUUGGAUACUGUCGGGCUUGAGUGCAGGAGAGGUUAGUGGAAUUCCCAGUGUAGCGGUGAAAUGCGUAGAGAUUGGGAGGAACACCAGUGGCGAAGGCGACUAACUGGACUGUAACUGACGCUGAGGCGCGAAAGUGUGGGGAGCAAACAGGAUUAGAUACCCUGGUAGUCCACACUGUAAACGAUGAAUGCUAGGUGUAGGGGGUAUCGACCCCUUCUGUGCCGCAGUCAACACAAUAAGCAUUCCGCCUGGGGAGUACGGCCGCAAGGUUGAAACUCAAAGGAAUUGACGGGGGCCCGCAC
rnacentral:rRNA from 1 species